UAGUGACGACGUGUGCCACGCCUGCGCACGC
rnacentral:sRNA from 1 species